rnacentral:rRNA from 1 species
AGAGUUUGAUCCUGGCUCAGAACGAACGCUGGCGGCAUGCCUAACACAUGCAAGUCGAACGAGACCUUCGGGUCUAGUGGCGCACGGGUGCGUAACGCGUGGGAAUCUGCCCUUGGGUUCGGGAUAACUCGCCGAAAGGCGUGCUAAUACCGGAUGAUGACGUAAGUCCAAAGAUUUAUCGCCCGAGGAUGAGCCCGCGUUGGAUUAGGUAGUUGGUGAGGUAAAGGCUCACCAAGCCGACGAUCCAUAGCUGGUCUGAGAGGAUGAUCAGCCACACUAGGACUGAGACACGGCCCAGACUCCUACGGGAGGCAGCAGUGGGGAAUAUUGGACAAUGGGCGAAAGCCUGAUCCAGCAAUGCCGCGUGAGUGAUGAAGGCCUUAGGGUUGUAAAGCUCUUUUACCCGGGAUGAUAAUGACAGUACCGGGAGAAUAAGCUCCGGCUAACUCCGUG